UGUAUUAAUGGCAUAGCCAGGACUGUGAGACCCUGCUGGACCAAGUUCCCCCCUUUUCUAUCAAGCCUUGAAAAUGAGAAAGAUCCAGGUCAGUUACAGGUACUUCAAGGAGGCAGUAUGAUUGCCUUGAUGUAUGUCUUCUGGGGUUUCAGCUUGAGAGAGCAGAGGAAAAAUAAAGGAGGCUAUUCUGGGUGCCAGCUGGACUUGUGCUGCCUGUGAGUGAGUGAUACACAAAAUUUCCAUGGGCUUUUGUGAGUGGAUGAGUUGGCCAGGGGUUAUUUUAAAAGGGAUCCUUCCCAAUAGGACUGACUGGUGGAGCAAAGGACUGUGAUC
rnacentral:lncRNA from 1 species